rnacentral:lncRNA from 1 species
AUGAUGAUAUUCUCCUACCCAAGUGCACUCAUGGUGGCACGUAACGCCAUCCUCGGAAGCUGGCAGGACAUCCUGAAAAAGACGUUCCUCACCUCGGGCAAUGAGACAGCCAAAUGUUCCUGCUCACACUUGUCCUUGGAGGCUUUCUUUGGUGUCCAUCCUCUGGAAGCUGGCCGUAGGCAUGAGCAUUCUGAGCGUCUGACCCAGCCCAUCCCACAAAUCUUCUCACCAUCGCAUCUGCCAGGCCACCUUGGGGACACCUUCCUGCACCGCCACCCAGACCACCACCUCCCUCUUCCAUAUCACGCAGACUUUCAUCAACUCAGUGCCUACCGCCAUACUGAGAGAUCCUUAAGACCUUGAGAAGCACUGCUCCUGUGCAUUGCUGACAAUGAUCCUAUACAAACUUUUCAGCCUUAUCACAACUUCUGACUUACUUCUGUGAAUGGAUCAUGUAAGGACAACUCCCCUGUUGCAGGGAGAGCUGAGCAAGACAGAAAUAUAUUUUUGUCUUCAAAGUCAGUAAGAGUUCCAUCUAAUAGACUGAGGGAAAUAUGCAUUCUCUUUUUUCAGUGCAGUGCUGGUUUUCUGGACGUUCUCCCCUCCUUAAUAUGCUAGUUCUCCUUUCAUGGAAGACUUCAGAGCAUUAUCCUUCCUUGCUAAGAUAAGCAACAGCUAGGCUCGCCUGCCACAAGCUUCAACAAUUGUAUUUAACAUAUUGCCCUGGAAAAUGCCCAUUGACUUUAACACAAAGCAAUAUUCUUUCAGCUCUCUAAAUAUAUAUGUGGUUUGAUUUACCUUUGCCUUAUAAAGGCAUAUUGACUGUGAAAGUGUUGCACUUAAAGAUAUAUAAAUAUAAGAAUGUGUGUCUAUAUAUGGUUAUAUUCAAACUUUUCAUUUGUAAAUAUACACAUAUAGACAAACACAACCUGUGCAAGAGUAGCCUAAAAUGAGCUAAAUCCAGGAACAGAUUAAAUAAAUUGCUGUAAGAGAAGUGACUUUUGGAGACU